rnacentral:rRNA from 1 species
CCUACGGGUGGCAGCAGUGGGGAAUAUUGGACAAUGGGGGCAACCCUGAUCCAGCCAUGCCGCGUGUGUGAAGAAGGCCCUCGGGUUGUAAAGCACUUUCAGUGAGGAAGAACGCCUGGUGGUUAAUACCCAUCAGGAAAGACAUCACUCACAGAAGAAGCACCGGCUAACUCCGUGCCAGCAGCCGCGGUAAUACGGAGGGUGCGAGCGUUAAUCGGAAUUACUGGGCGUAAAGCGCGCGUAGGUGGCUUGAUAAGCCGGUUGUGAAAGCCCCGGGCUCAACCUGGGAACGGCAUCCGGAACUGUCGAGCUAGAGUGCAGGAGAGGAAGGUAGAAUUCCCGGUGUAGCGGUGAAAUGCGUAGAGAUCGGGAGGAAUACCAGUGGCGAAGGCGGCCUUCUGGACUGACACUGACACUGAGGUGCGAAAGCGUGGGUAGCAAACAGGAUUAGAUACCCUUGUAGUC